rnacentral:rRNA from 1 species
UGAACGCUGGCGGCAUGCUUUACACAUGCAAGUCGAGCGGCAGCGCGGGCUUCGGCCUGGCGGCGAGUGGCGAACGGGUGAGUAAUACAUCGGAACGUGCCCAGUAGUGGGGGAUAGCUCGGCGAAAGCCGGAUUAAUACCGCAUACGACCUGAGGGUGAAAGCGGGGGAUCUUCGGACCUCGCGCUAUUGGAGCGGCCGAUGGCAGAUUAGCUAGUUGGUGGGGUAAAGGCCUACCAAGGCGACGAUCUGUAGCUGGUCUGAGAGGACGACCAGCCACACUGGGACUGAGACACGGCCCAGACUCCUACGGGAGGCAGCAGUGGGGAAUUUUGGACAAUGGGCGAAAGCCUGAUCCAGCAAUGCCGCGUGUGUGAUGAAGGCCUUCGGGUUGUAAAGCACUUUUGGCGGGAACGAAAAGGACUGUGCCAAUACCACGGUUCGAUGACGGUACCCGCAGAAUAAGCACCGGCUAACUACGUG